AGCAGCAUGGCGCAGCGGAAGCGCGCCGGGCUCAUAACCCGGAGGACUCAGGAUCGAAACCUGAUGCUGCUA
rnacentral:tRNA from 1 species